AACCGAGUUUCAUGUGUAGUGUUUUGUGGAAUGGCAUGUCAACUGGGGUGAAUUUCAUUAUACAUGAUAAGCUUCAUUGGUAUGGGGAUUUAGAGAUCAGUCAUUGGAAUGAUAAGGUGUGGAACAGAAGCAUUUAGGAUAAGCUAGGACUUAUCUCUAACUGAUGUCUGACAUUUGUAGACAUUGAACUGGAUUGAUUGAUUUAAAAAGUUGAAUAAAGUGGAAUAGUGCAAAUAGCAUGCAAGAGAG
rnacentral:misc_RNA from 1 species